GUCGAACGGAGUUAAGCGCUGGUUUGAUGGUAGCUUGCUACUGGAUUUCCUUGCUUAACUUAGUGGCGGACGGGUGAGUAACGCGUGAGUAACCUGCCUCUCAGUGGGGAAUAACGCCCUGAAAAGAGCGCUAAUACCGCAUAACACAUAGUGACCGCAUGAUCAUUAUGUCAAAGAUUUAUCGCUGAGAGAUGGACUCGCGUCCGAUUAGCUUGUUGGCGGGGUAACGGCCCACCAAGGCGACGAUCGGUAGCCGGACUGAGAGGUUGAACGGCCACAUUGGGACUGAGACACGGCCCAGACUCCUACGGGAGGCAGCAGUGGGGGAUAUUGCGCAAUGGGGGAAACCCUGACGCAGCAACGCCGCGUGGAGGAUGACGGUUUUCGGAUUGUAAACUCCUUUUAUAAGGGACGAACUAAGACGGUACCUUAUGAAUAAGCUCCGGCUAACUACGUGCCAGCAGCCGCGGUAAUACGUAGGGAGCAAGCGUUGUCCGGAUUUACUGGGUGUAAAGGGUGCGUAGGCGGCUUGGUAAGUCAGGUGUGAAAUGUAGAGGCUCAACCUCUGAACUGCACUUGAAACUAUCGAGCUUGAGUGAUGUAGAGGCAGGCGGAAUUCCCUGUGUAGCGGUGAAAUGCGUAGAGAUAGGGAGGAACACCAGUGGCGAAGGCGGCCUGCUGGGCAUUAACUGACGCUGAGGCACGAAAGCGUGGGUAGCAAACAGGAUUAGAUACCCUGGUAGUCCACGCUGUAAACGAUGAUUACUAGGUGUGGGUGGACUGACCCCAUCCGUGCCGCAGUUAACACAAUAAGUAAUCCACCUGGGGAGUACGGCCGCAAGGUUGAAACUCAAGGGAAUUGACGGGGGCCCGCACAAGCAGUGGAGUAUGUGGUUUAAUUCGAAGCAACGCGAAGAA
rnacentral:rRNA from 1 species